rnacentral:rRNA from 1 species
UGAGUAACGCGUGGGUAACCUGCCUUAUACAGGGGGAUAACAGUUGGAAACGACUGCUAAUACCGCAUAAGCGCACGGUAUCGCAUGAUACAGUGUGAAAAACUCCGGUGGUAUAAGAUGGACCCGCGUCUGAUUAGCUAGUUGGUGAGGUAACGGCCCACCAAGGCGACGAUCAGUAGCCGGCCUGAGAGGGUGAACGGCCACAUUGGGACUGAGACACGGCCCAAACUCCUACGGGAGGCAGCAGUGGGGAAUAUUGCACAAUGGGGGAAACCCUGAUGCAGCGACGCCGCGUGAGUGAUGAAGUAUUUCGGUAUGUAAAACUCUAUCAGCAGGGAAGAUAAUGACGGUACCUGACUAAGAAGCACCGGCUAAAUACGUGCCAGCAGCCGCGGUAAUACGUAUGGUGCAAGCGUUAUCCGGAUUUACUGGGUGUAAAGGGUGCGUAGGUGGUAUGGCAAGUCA